UGGGCAAGGCCCAACUGUCAACAGCAGGGCUCAACUGUGACUUUGGAGCCCAGCAUGUAGUUCUUGUAUCUGCAUCCUCAGAUCCAUGGCCAUCAGCUCCUCAGUCACCUUUCCAUUGAACAAGGACUCCCGGAUGUCAUCAGGGUCAAAACCCAUGAGGAAUAUGAGCAUAGUAGAAGAGAGUUCUGCACCUUCCACAGGGGAUCAGCUCCUAAAGCAGCACCAGAUUGUCUGCCUUCCACAGAGGAUCCCGUGAGGAUAAUUUUGAAGAGGAUCUUAUCAGAUUCCUGGGGUCUUGGUUUUCCCAAACAAUGUCCUGAGUUCUGGUCCAGCCGAGACCUGCUGUGCAGUCCACAGUCACCGAGUUCUCUCUUCCCUGCAGCAUCCAGCAGGACACCUCCACUCUCAGCCUCCUGUGAGCCACGCCCACCUGGGGCUGCAGCAGGCAGCAGAGGUGACCCAGGUCCCUAAGCCUCCUCUCCUGCAUGCUGCCGUCCUCCUCACCUCCGCUCCCGUGCUCCAUCACAACGUAGCUGUCCUCACCUGUCUCCAUAACAUGGAACAGCUGGAUGAGGUUGGGUGACCCGAGCCUCCACUGGGUCCUCUCCUGCCAAUACUGUGGGGGACGGAGCUCUGCUGUCCUUUCUGAAUGACAUUCAUGGACACCUGGGCCCUGUUAGGAUUGCCUGGCUAGUUUCACCCUGGCAAAUCUACCCUGCCCAAGGGUCCAUGUGGACCUCAUAUUGAUUCAUGAAGGUCAUCUCUUUUGAGUAGUUAUCUGCAAGGGAAUGACGAAAGCUGAUUUCCUUACUACUCUGACUGCACAUCCUAAGCAGCAACACUUACAAUCCUAACUGUGCUAAUUAGCAGCACUAAUGCACAACUACGUGGAUUCCCCUUGUCAUGACUGCAGCCAUGUUGUGAACCAAAACCUAUAAAUGUUUCAGAGCAGUGGGGCACUCUGGAGGGAGCCUUGCCACAGCAGCCCAGCUGCCGGAAUGCGCCUGACUCUUUGGUAUAAACUUUAGUUAUAUCAAGAACGCUGUACUUGUUGAGAUGUAAAAGUAGAAUCUAUGGAGGAAGAGUAUAGGAAGCUGUAAGCGCUCCUGUGCCCAGACAGUAAACACUAGGCACCUCAAGCUGCCAGGUGGACAUGCCAAGUUCGGAGGCUUUGAAAAGAGUUGCAGCAGGUUGGGAUUUACAUCCUACCUACCCUAGCUUCCAUAGUCCACUCAGGCUGGUCGACAGGCCAGCUAGCACUCCGAGAAUGAAUGUGGACCACAGGGCAUGGCAUAUGCUGAUACCUGGGAGUUUUGCUAUAGUUCCUCACAUCACCUGGAUCUAAGCAUGAACCACAACCCCUCUUGUUUCUGAGCAUGCCGUUAUGAAUAUAGCUAACGUCUUGUCACAAAUCUUUUAUAACUGGACUAGCUAGACCAGUUUGUGUUCCUUUGGGAGGGCAGACAGGGGAUUCUCCAAGUAUUGCCUGAGAAAUCCACACAGUCCUAAAAUGUAUCACCGCAUAGUAGCUCCUCAUGUCACUCAGGUUUCAUUCUCCAUGGAUUUUACCUGGUUCAUUUAUUCUUCUAUCAUGCUAAGAGGGUAAGAUCAAACUUUGUUACAGGAGUCAAUGAGAUACCCGUUCUCCUAUCUGUGCAUUAGUUAAUGUGCUGUCACCCCAAUGAGUUUCAAGCCAGUGGACCAUCCUGCAGAUCCCACAGUUGUCUGGUGGGUAACACUUGAUGUAUCCAGGUUGAAGUGACAGAAAAUGCUACCUUCCCCAUGUCCCAUACAGAGAAGCAUGGACAGGCUUCUCUAGGAAUCCUGGGUUGCUGGUGCUGUUCAUUAUACAGCUUGCUCAAUGCCUCUGUCCACUAAGCAGCUAAUUAAGAAGGGAGCACAUGGGACUAGUGUGCUCCCAGAGGAGACCUUUGAGAAAGCAAAGGUGGUGAUAGUCCAGGCACAGGCUCUGGGCACCCUCUACAAGAUCUCAGGAGCAGAUAGAUGUCACCUGUACAGCAGAUGGCAAGAAUCAGGGUACAGGAAAAACAACUCGACUAAAGGUACCUUAGGUUUUGGUUGAGAGUCCAAGAGGUGAGCUAAAGCAGUCCAUCCCUAGUGAAACCUACCUGAAGAACUCAGUUCCUCUUUCAUUAACUCUGCUUUAAGCAGUGGUAGGUGGCUGUGUGGGAGGCCCUAAGUUUCAUCCCCUCCCUGAACAAGACAAUACCACAUGAGUCUUCCCUGUUGUUCUGCUGCUAUAAAGGUCUUUGCCCCAGGACACUGCUUAGCUUGGAGCUAAAGUCUCUCUCUAAGGUUCCUUCAUGGCAGGCUUGUUGAUGGGACUCUUGGGUUGGUGGAAUCUAAGCACUGGCUCCUAAUUGCAGGAAGUCUUGUCCCUGAGGCAAAAUGUUAAAGGAGCAAUUGGGAUCCAGCCCCCACCCAUCUCUCUCUCUGUUCAUCAGAACUCUGGGGUUGAUUGGGCUUCUGUGCUUCUGUGUUCCUGUAGUCUGUGUGCACACACAGGACAAUAUGCAUGUGUGCCCCUGAGAGCGUACAUGUGCACGUGUGGAGGCACAGUUGCAUGUGUGUGUAGGUGUGUGGAUGUGUGCCUGUGUGUGCAUGUGAACUUGAUCAUGGUGUUGGUGUCACUGAGAGUAAACAAUGGCAGCUGGAAGGCAAGAACAUUCUGGAGGCCUGUGGUUGUCUCCAGACACACAGGAGAACCACAAAUGGAAUGAUUUUCCCAACUGGCAGGAAUGGGCAUGAGAUCUUAGUACCUGCCCUCACUCCUGUCAAUCACUGCUCUACCCAGUAGGUCUUCCAAAGCCAGGGUGACACCUUUACAUUGUACAUUCUGAGGAUCUGGAUGCUGCUGGUUGACUGCUCCAGACAGACAGGGAAGUAAGGAUUCUGGUGCUAGGAGUUGAUUUGAAAGGUGAAGGCCAAGGUAUGGAGAGGUGAGAAGAGGAGAUUGCUAAUACUGGCUCUUAUCCAGAGGGCUCACCUUGGAGAGUACACGCCUGUGGGUCACUGGGGCUUAGCCAACUGGGCAUUCCUGAGCAGAAUGUGACACUCAAGUUUUCUCUCCCAUGUCCCAGGGUCCAGGCAUCACUGAAACCACUCUUGGGUCAGUGAGCUUCAGAGCUUCACCUGCCACAUGGUACCCAAAGGGUGACAGGCAAACAUGGGGCAGAGCUGAUCACUGUACCUACCCUCAGACUGAAGGGCACAUUGAAGACACUUCAAGGGCUCAGAGAGCAGCGUCCCAAGAUCAGUGGAGUGUGUGACUGUCCUCUGGAGACUGCUCAGAUCAUGGACCUUUCCUCCAGCAGAGACCAAGGUUCCAGUGACUGUGUGGGUGAAGUGUGUUUCUUCUUUCCCGGACACCUUGCAGCUUGGGUCUGCAGGUAGCCUCUGCUCCUAGGGAAGGUUGCCUAGCUAGAUCGUGAACUGUGCGCCUCACCAUGACUGGACAGAGGACUAUGAGCAGGUGUGCCCAGCGGGCAGCAGUGUGGACAUUCAUCUCCUCUUUUAAACAGUUGGAAUCCACACCUGGCCAAUCUCCCACUCCAUUCAGCCAAGGUCCUCCAAGGUCAGAGUUCCCAUGUUCGCCCUUUUAAAUGCAAGAAGAAAGUUAAAAUUCCCCCGUUUUAACAUCUUUGACGUACAGUUCCCGGUCCUUGACUAAGUCACCAGGCUGGUCAGUGGAUCUCCAGACUGACUCCUCUACCUGGCUGAACUUCUCCUCCCCUUCGCCUCACCCAUCUCCAUCCCCCACCUCUCCCCUCCCUGACCAGCUGCACCUGCCAUUCUGCUCUCUGGAUCUCAGAUUCAACUUCUUAGAUUUCAGAAAGGAGUGAUCCUAAAGCAUCUAUCCCAGGUAAUGAGCAUGUUAUAUGCAAGUCUAGGUCAUUCCGUGGCAUGUGCACAUAAAGAAAAUCACAUUGUACACAACUGUGAUUUGUUAAUGUUUAAAGACUAUGAUCAAAGCAUAGACUAAAGACAGGAAACUGCGGAAACUGCAGCUUCGCCACCUCACCUCCUGGGUUUCUGACUUGGUCUCCACUCCCAACUUCUUACACUGGAGCCACUUUGUUCCUGAAUUCAGGGUGUGUGACUUUGGCACUCAACCCUCAUGGGAUAAAUAUGUCAAACCCUCACACUCCUGGCUCUAGACUUGCAUAGGCAAGCUUUGGUUUGUGGAUAUAAUGGAGAGGGACAUGCUUCUCUGCGUCCCCAGGAAGGACUCCUGGUGCUUCUCAGGCAGUUGAUAUUCUGAGAACUAGUAGGUAAAGUUGGGAAGGGCAGCUCAAGACAAAGGUCAUCUCCUUCAGAGAAGGUGGAUAGAACUUCGGGGGAUGGGCAAGGCCCAACUGCUAAGAGCAGGGCUCAACUGUGACUUUGGAGCCCAGCAUGUGGUUUCUGCAUCUGAAGUCUCAGGUACAUGGCCUUCACUACCUAAUCCACUUUUCCACUGAGCGAAUCAUUAGGGUCAAAAGCCACAAGGAAGAUGAUUUUAGUGAGUUUUUUGCCCUGGAGUGAGGAGUGGCUCAUGAUUAGGUCCCAAUGACUCUUUCUCACCUGCUCAACCCUGGUGCCCACAGGUGGUCCAAAGUGGAAGUGAAGUAGUUCCAAUGACCCUUUCAUUUUCCAUGGAAAGUAGAAGAGAGUCCUGCACCUUCCACAGAGCAUUCACUCUUAAAGCAGCAACAUGGUGCCUGCAUUCAAGAUGGGAUACCAUGGAGGGAUUUUGAAGGUGAUUCCCAGGAUCCCUACAGCUUCAGUGGAUCAGUGUGCUCUUUAACCCAACAAAGAUAUGAGCACGUGCAUCCAGCAGGAUACCUCCACUCUCAGCCUCCUGUGAGCCACGCCCACCUGGGGCAGCAGCAGGCAGCAGAGGUAACCCCAGGUCCCCAGGCCGCCUCUCCUGCAUGCUGCCGUCCUCCUCACCUCUGCUCCCGUGCUCCAUCACAACGUUGCUGUCCUCACCUGUCUCCAUAACAUGGAACAGCUGGAUGACAUUGGGUGACUCGAGCCUCCACUGGGUCCUCUCCUGCCAAUACUCUGUGGGGGACAGAGCUCUGCUGUCCUUUCUGAAUGACAUUCAUGGACACCCGGGCCCUGUUAGGAGUUGCCUGGCUAGUUUCACCUUGGCAAAUCUACCC